CUCAGAUUGAACGCUGGCGGCAGGCCUAACACAUGCAAGUCGAGCGGUAGAGGGAAGCUUGCUUCUCUUGAGAGCGGCGGACGGGUGAGUAAUGCCUAGGAAUCUGCCUAGUGGUGGGGGAUAACGUCGGAAACGGACGCUAAUACCGCAUACGUCCUACGGGAGAAAGCGGGGGACCUUCGGGCCUCGCGCCAUUAGAUGAGCCUAGGUCGGAUUAGCUAGUUGGUGAGGUAAUGGCUCACCAAGGCGACGAUCCGUAACUGGUCUGAGAGGAUGAUCAGUCACACUGGAACUGAGACACGGUCCAGACUCCUACGGGAGGCAGCAGUGGGGGAAUAUUGGACAAUGGGCGAAAGCCUGAUCCAGCCAUGCCGCGUGUGUGAAGAAGGUCUUCGGAUUGUAAAGCACUUUAAGUUGGGAGGAAGGGUAGUAACUUAAUACGUUGCUACUUUGACGUUACCGACAGAAUAAGCACCGGCUAACUUCGUG
rnacentral:rRNA from 1 species